UGUGUUCUAAGGAUUCAUUUUAAUUUGUAAAAAUAAGUCUUAGAACAUUAUACAGGAAACAACAUAAAGUCAAAGAGAAAUGCUUGAAAACCACAGUCUCAGCCUAUGUGAAGCAAUAGCUGAUGGUUGGCAUAGUUUGGAUACUUUACUGAAAUGUAACCUUGUGGUUUUUAACAUUCCCUCUGUGGUGUAAACAUAUUAUUCAAGUAGUGAAUGGUCCUGUUCUUCUUAGCAGCAGGGUUGCUGAGCUAAAAUCAAAUGAGAGCUACAGUAAGCCAGAUGAGAAAAAGAUGGAAGAAAAAUAUCCAGCUGCUUCAUUGAAAAACAAUUCCAGCAAGAGAAAAGGAAGAGGCAUGUAAGGAAAUGAUGAAGCAGCAGCCAUUACCACCUCAAGUGAUAAUCAGUCAUCGUCUAAGCAAGACCCUAAAAUGCCCAGAGAAAUUCCCCAAGAAUCCACUGGAUUCUCCCCCUUCAAGCUUCUCUAUGGUAGGAUGGUGAGAGGGCUCCUCGACGUCCUGAAAUAGACCUGGGAAGAGGAGAGAACAAAACCAAAGAACAUUAUCAGCUAUGUCCUGAAUGUGCAACAAGUAGGCAUAAUAUACGCUGCUCGCUAAACAAAAUCUGUCCAAGGCACAAAGGGCACUGAAGACUUGGUACAACUUGGUCCCAAAACAGAAUUUUGUUAUUACUGCCCACCUCAGAACACAAACUGUUACCAAAAUGAAAAGGCCUGUAUGAGGUGUGGGGAAAAUGUGGUCCUGGGACGUACGAGAUCAGUACACCAGAGAAAACUAAGAAAAGGCAAAUCUUCCACAUCAACCUAUUGAAGGAAUGGAAUGACCGCCCAAGACACGUUAUUGAGGAGAGCAAAGGAAGAACAAACAGCAGAAAAAAUUUUCCCAUCAGGAGAGGAAGAAUGCCCUCCCAAUCAUUUACAUCUCAGUCAGAGGCAGCAGCAACACAUAACAACCUUACUGGAAUUUUUUCCCGGCUUAUUCACAGAGUAGCCCAGACACAGCACAGUCAUACAGCACUGCCAUCAGACAACGAAUGUAUCAGAUUCCAAAAAGACUCCUGGACACCCUGAAGGAGGAAGUUAAUACCAUGCUAAGCACUAAAGUCAUCAAGCCUUCUUACAGCUCUUGGAGCAGUCCUGUGUUUCUCGUAUCAAAGAAAGAUAACUCUAUCCAUUUCUGCAUUGACAUGGUGGGUUGGUAUUGGUGCUUUAUACCGCAUUUUGCUGAAAUUACCUUUCUCCUCACAGAGCUGACCAAGACGAAAGGAGAAAACUUUACAUGGCUGCUGAUUUUUUUUUUAAAUGUAUUUAUUAAUUUGUACUUUUUCUAGCAGUAGGCCUAUCUAUAAGCUAUCUCUGCUAGUAUAACUUUUUCUUUUCGUUGCUGUUUUGGUAGAUGCCUUUGAUUUUCCUGUCCAGUUAGUCUCCUAACACAAUCUACAAUUCCCCUUAAUAAUUAGGCUCAUUAUAUUUUAUUUUUGAAUGUGUCCACAUGUGUUCUAACAUAUUUAAUAAUUAUUUAGUUACAUAUAAAAUUAGACUUGCUAAAUAACUUUUAUUAGUAACACAACACUAUAUUUAUAGUGGAGUUCCAAAUGUGUAUGUACAUUAUAUGGAAAUACAAAAUAUCAUAUACAGCAUAUAUAAAAAAUUGAGUGUUCGGUCAGAAACCUAAUGACUAGUGAUUACGCAAAUGUAAUUUCCAAGACCAUUCCAAAUACAUUUCUUGUAUUGUAUGUAUUUUCAGACAUAGCUAUUCUACCUGUCGUAUUGAAACAUGACAUCAACUACGAUUUGACUUGAAUAUACACAUGAUAACUGAUGCAGAUUGCUGGUGAUAACUGAUGCAGAUUGCAGAUGAUAACUCAUGCAGAUUGCAGGUGCUGACUGAUCGAGAUUGCUGGUGAUAACUGAUGCAGAAUGCAGGUGAUAACUGAUGCAGAUUGCUGGUGAUAGCUGAUGCAGAAUGCAGGUGAUUACUGAUGGAGAUUGCUAGUGAUAACUGAUGCAGAUUGCAGGCAAUAUAGAACUAAGCCACAGAUUUGAAUUUUACCGCACACCCAACACGCACUUAUCGUUAUGCUAUAUGCAGCAAUUGAUGAGUGAAAAGCUUUUAAAAAGUCAAAGUCAACAUUUUAUAAACAAUGAACGUAAAAUACUGUCAAUAUACAAUAAUGUAACAAAUUACAAGGUACUGGAACUAUACCACAUGACAUGUCUAAUGUGUGUUAAUGUGGACAUACAAAUAGGCAUAUGUGAUUCACCCAUAUAGUUUUAGUCAGAAAUUGAAAUUUUUACUUUGAAAACUGUAAAAACAACAUGGCAUAAAUACUAUGGAUAGAAACCACACUACAGAUUACAAAAAUAUAUAAUAGGUAAAACAAUAAAUAAUCUGUUUACAAAGAAAGAAACAAUGAAGGAUACUAGUUUGAAAAAAAUCUGCCUAAAAAUGUACUUUUAUUAAACUUUGUCAGAAUGUUCCUUUGUGUAGAAUACACACAAAAAAACUUAAAGCACUGAACAAUAACAAAAAAAGACCCUUACUGCACAUAUGGAGCUGUGUGACCAAUUGAAUGGUAUAAUCAGAUAUCAUUGUAAAAUGAAUCUAAACAGUUUAAAAUUCAACACAAAAAGGAUGUUGGACAACAGUAACAGAGACUUUUUGUUAAACCACACAUCUUUUUGGCAGUGGAUGUAUUUGGUUUGUUCUGUUAUGUCUUGUAUUUUAUAACAUUCCUGUCAUAAUGUAGAUAUUUUUCAUAUUUCUUGAAAGUUAUCGCUUGCUUAGAACUCCGAUAUAUUGCAUUUUUCUUUACUUGUGCUUUUUCUGAUUAUUAAAAAUGUAAAAUAAUUAUUUUGUUACAAUAAAACCCCAAAAUAAAAAUAAAAGCCAACGGCCAAGCAACUCAGAUCCAAAAUAAACUAACUCAAACAGAUAUGUUUUUAAAAUUGAUUUAAAAGUUUAAACUGUGCCAAAUAUCUUCACUGUAAAACAGGAGAACAAAAUGACUAUGAACAGUACAGAAUACACCUUUUAACGAUUAAAACACAAGUUGCUUGUGUAAACACAAAUUUCAACGCCCAGUUUGUUAUUAAAGUAAUUAUUAAAACUUGUUUGAAACAGGUAGUGAAAUUAUCCCCGUGAGGUAUUUUCCUAAUGCUUGUUAUACAACAAAUGAUAACAGUUGUUGGCUAAGUUGAAAAGCAUGCUCAUAAACUGACAUUUUAUGCUCCAGGGCAAUUUGGAAAACAUAUACUCAGAUAAAGUAUGAAGACUGAGAACUGCCAUUUGGAUAAAUAAAUGCUGUUAAGACCGGGUUAGGUGGAAGUCGGCCAUCCAGAAAGGGGGCGGAGCUGCGAUACACCAAGUUAUCGACCUGGAAGGGAAACAAAGUGGCAGUAACGGAUUGGAGGAGUGAUUGCAAUCGUUAACCAAGGGGGUGUGAUUGAUGGUACAUAAGGGGACAUAGCAAGAUGAUCUGUUCCUUUGUAUGGUUAACGUUGAACUGGAAGGAGAACGUAAUUGUUAUCUUGAGUGUUUUGUCUUGUCUAAAAUUACUUGUUUGUUGUUAUUAGACGGCUAACAUGAUCCGGAGCUGUGGCUACAGGCCAGCACAAAACCCGAACAACACUGCACUACUUCACGAUAAAUUGCAUUUUCACCAUGAGCCCUUCAGCACUCACUUUGGACUUGUGACCGUGUUUGUGUUGACUGUGUGAGUUUAAAUACUGUGUUUAUUGUUUUGGGAGAGAAGGUGAUAGCUACAGUGGUUCAGGAGUUCAUGCAAGCACAAUAUAGUAUUUUUAUUGGUGCCUGUGCAUGGGAGAACAUGAGCCAGAACUGUAAAUCUUCCUCCUGACCUGGAAGGACACUGGCUAAGGUUGAUGGUACACCUUCACAGGAAUGGGCCGACUCAAUGGUAGGACGGAACCGGAAGUCGUGUGUUUUGUUAUUUUUUUGUUUUGGUAGGUGAGUACUCUGGGAGCUGAAGCAACAGAGCCAGUACUACCACCAGGAUCAUCUACACUGCCAUACCACCUCAACCUGUUCCAGCACUCUGAUCAUCUACACUGCCAUACCACCUCAACC